UUGACGAUCCUUUACCCACUGGCCAUGUUCUUCAUUCUAAUACUCUUCCAUUGGAGUGGUCCUACUAGCUAGCACGGUGCACUGGACACAAUGGACCAACACUCUGACUCAGGGGAAAGGUACAGGGACACCUCAACGAAUUGUGUAACUCUGAUGUCACUCAGUCCAGUGUCUAGUACCGUUUCAGCUCAGAUUGAGAACAUACUCCAUGACUCUGUGCACGACAUGCUACGUGGGUGAACUGCAACAAGUCACAAACGUGGGAGAAAGGGGAUCUUUUAGCCUCGAUCUCAGGCCGCACUGAAGAUGAGGUUGAUGAGGCCAUACCACUAUCUAUGAUGAGGCCUAGCAUAUGCCAUUACCUACUCAGCGUGAAUGUGAUCUGCUGCCAGCAUGUGCCAGUCCAGUGGCUGUGCUAUAGGAUAAGAAUGGAUGAAUGCAUGAAAGGAUGGAGGUGAGGGGAGAUGCUUUGUAGAGACGGCACCUGUUGUAGGCUACUGAUAAUAAUCACGAGGUUCAUUGUUUUGUUCGCUUGCCCAUGUGUUAGACCUUAUUGGUGGAGGGAGGUCAAUAUUGAGCAACCAUAGCUGGCAUGGGCUCAGAGAUUUCAUUUGUGGUGGUAUUUUACACUACAGUAUGGUGUAAUUAUUUAUCCAUGUAUGGACAUGUGGCAGUACUAUUGGAGGUGACCUUUCACUAAUCAUGACCUUUCAAUGACAUUCUACCAAAUUGCUUUGUUUACUGUGAAAGGGGUGGAAUGUGACACCUCUCUGAAAAGGGGGAGGAUCUGUGCAAUGAUUAUGUUUACUGAGAAACAAGGAAAGGGGCGAAAUUUCCUCUUUAUGUGUGAAACACGUUUGCUAGUAAUACUCAUUUGAAAGCUCUCAAUGAGACGAAUGUAAUGGUACCCAUAUUAUCAUCACACUCUUACA